AGGGGGCAGAAGUUUGUGCUCUCUCUGUCUCUCUCCCUCUCUCCUUUGCCACCCAGUGCCCACCCUCACUGCAGCCCUCUCCUAACCCCUCAAUCCCACACCCCACGCUGCCUCUAACCCACUCAGUGCCAUGGUGGGCAUCUAUCUGUAGGGAACUCCAGCUCCCUCCAGCCCCUAUGCCACCUGUCAUUUCCAAUCCUUUCUAGCAGCUCCCCUGAACCCUCUCUUUAAUAAGAUCUACCCUUUUUAAAAAUCAUAUUUUAAUUGUAAUUUUAAGUUUCAAAAUGUCCAUUCUCUUAACAAUCUUAACCAAUUCUCAUUGAAUGCCUUCUGCAUUGUGGUCACAAAAGGGGCUCUGGAACCAGACGUUGGGGUUAGAAUCCUGGAUUCGCCACUUACUGUGUGACUUUGGGUGAAGCUAUAAACACAGGGCAAAAUCCAUCAUAUCUGGUGAUUCAUACACAGAAGUACAGAGUGGAGCAACUUGAGACAUUACAGGCUGAAAAAUACACACUUGAAGUCCACAGCCCAUGACUGAAUCUGCUAGAUGAUGACUCGGUGGUUGCUGAGGAAUUUAAUCAUCUGGACCAUGUCCUUCCCUAGUUAAUUUUCAACCCAGAUGAUCAUAUCUCCUGUUCCGGGCAGACACAUUUCUGGCGCUAAGACCAGGGCCCCUAUUCAGCCUUAGUGGAUAAUUCAACCUCCUGAGAGGCACUGCAGAAGCACCUGGGCCAAGAUUGCUUUCCUCUUCUACGCCUAUCCCAGGAAUGUGGCCACUGCUCAAAAUGUGGGAAUUCCCUUCCAGAAUUCCCCUUGAAGCUGCUGCACGCUUCUUAGACCACGUCUGAGCAAUGCCUGCAUCACUAGAAUAUUUGGCCUCAGUUGGGUUUGUUUCUUUAAAAAAAAAAAAAAAA
rnacentral:lncRNA from 1 species